rnacentral:rRNA from 1 species
CACAUCAGCUCGAGUGAGUUUACGCGCUAAACUUAAACAUAUCAGUCGGCGCAGCUUAAUAGAAACUAACCAGGAUUUCCUUAGUAACGGCGAGUGAACAGGAAUACUUAUUCGUUCAGCCCAACGAUUAAAUCACUUCUUGAUAUUAGGCACUCUGUGUCUUACGUCAGAAUGAAUUGUAGCAAUCGUAUUAAAACUAAAUGACUAUUUCAAUUAAACGUUGUAUUAAACACAUUUCAUACUUUUAUUGAUAAAGUUGUUAACGUGAUUUUAUUUUCAUUUAUAAUGAAACACACAGCAUUACGCGCUGGAAAGCAAGUGUUUACCUUGCCUUAGAAUGUGACAGCCAUGUUCUUAUAUUGAAACCACGUAUUCUAACACACUUUUUAAUAAUGGAUAUACGUAAAUCGUUUAUUUAUUGAAGUCUUUAGUAUUUUAUAAUUUCUCUUUAUAUUUCAAUAAAGUUGAAUUCUAACCUGAGUCGAGUUGUUUGGGACUACAGCUCUAAUUGUUUGGUGGUGGUAAUGACUCAUCAAAGGCUAAAUAGUGGUGAUUAAACUUUGCAACGGAGACCGAUAGCAUACAAGUACCGUAAGGGAACGAUGAAAAGCACCCUUCUUAGCACGUAGCUAUUCAUUUAGUUACAAGCUCCAUCGGGAGUGAGAGAGAGAGUGAAACCGCCUGUGCUUUUUCUUAUAAGUGAACACACUAUUUUAUUUUACGUUUUGCGUAAUUUAAAAACACUUUACUUCUAUUUAGCGAAGUACAAUCGGACAGAGUGUUUGAUGUUCUAUUCUAUAGAACAAUGCGGUCUUCUAUUUGCGUUUUUUCGUAAAUUGGAUGACUCGCGAGUCAACGUGUUUUACACUUUAAACACAACUGUUUGACCCGUUUUGAAACACGGACCAAGGAGUUCAACUGGACUGCGAGUAUUUGAGUUUUAAACUCUUUUAGUGCGCAACGAAAGUAAAUCAAAUGUAUUGUAUUUUUACAAUUCAAUUUAAGCUUUUGAAGUAACUUGUUCUGACUUCGGUGAGAUCAGUCUUGUUUAUUUAUUUAACCAAGAUUCAUUUAGCUUAAUAGCAUUUCGGUUGAGACCCGAAAGAUGGUGAACUAUGCUCGGACAUGGUGAAGUCAGGAGAAAUCUUGAUGGAAGCUUGCGUUGUGCGGAACUGACGUGCAAAUCGUUACCGCCUGACCUGUGUAUAGGGGCGAAAGACUCAUCGAACCAUCUAGUAGCUGGUUCCCUCCGAAGUUUCCCUUAGGAUAGCUCGAUACUCUCUAAGAGUAAUACAAGGGUAAAGCAAUGAGACGCGGUAUCUGUGGGUCUUUAUUUAUGACCUCGGCCUUCUCUCAAACUUUAAAUCUGUAUGUAAACAUAUUUGUUUACUUAAAAGUUAAUACUUUGUAUUAACGCGAAACUAUGUUUCUCAUCAAUUAAUUCGUAGUGGGCCAUUUCUGGUAAGCAGAACUGGCGAUGAGGGAUUCAACCUGACGUUUUCAAGAUAAGCCGGGCUUAAUCUUAUCUGCUCCAACCUUCCGAUAAACGCGAAAGGGUGUUCCGUGUGGUGUAGACAGCAGGACGGUGGCCAUGGAAGUCGGAAUCCGCAUAAGGACUCGUGUAACAACUCACCUGCAGAAUCACACCGCCCCGAAAACGGAUGGCGCUCAAGCAGUUAAAUACAUACUUGUGUGUAUUAGAUUACCCGACACUUGACUAUUGACAAUGUACUUUUUGUAUUCGUCAAUAAGUAGGAGGUUUAUGCGUAAAGAGACACUCACGUUUAUUGUCAUUUGACUUUAAAUGUUUAUAUAUUUAGAAGCGGUUACUCGUAAGAGACCGUUGAAUUCUCUUUAGUGCAGAUCUUGGUACUAGUAGCAAGGAGUCUUACUGAGAUUUACUUUAUUAUUAACCGAGGAUGACCGAAGCGGAGAAAGGUUCCAUGUUGCAGCUUAGUGCGUCGUGGGUGAGUCAGUCCUAAGGCCACGUCUGAAACAGACUUCAAUAUGUUUAUUGCUUAUUUAACUUCGGUUUUUUAAAACGUAAACUUUUCGGCUAAACGGGAAGCUAGUUAAUAUUCUAGCACCAAGAUAGGACAGUAAAUUAAAUCAACUUUUUUAUAGCUUUUAGCUAUUCUGUUUUGAUAUUUACUACACACGCAACAACUUUGGACAUCUCCUAUUGAAUUUCUUUCAACGAAAGUAUUCAAUUUAGUCUAUCUUUAUUUAUNAUCUUUUAAAUCAGAUAGUACUAAAACUAUUAAAAUUGCUAAAUCGCGGCAACGAAUAAUUGAGUUGUUUUCGAACGACUUUUAACCACAAGGCAGAUUACUUGAGGUGUUAAUCCUAGCAAGGUUAUCUAACUUGUUUAACCAUUUACUAAACAACAAACGUUUAUAUAAAUACUAUUUGGCUUUUUUCAUUUAAAACACACUUAUGAAUUAAUUGAUUUUUGUCUUUAGUUUUAUUUAAACACAUGUUUGUCAGUUGAGUGUCGAGCGGCAUUUAGUGAACGACGACUCCGCUAUUUACCCAUUCAUGGGAAUAACGUUGGUACACGUAGUUGUUCUUCGGACCAUCUCGUGUAAUUAACCUGACGUUUGUGGAUUUAACGUUCUCAGGCGUGAAAAGUCUGUCUCGUAAAUUAUUUUAUUUACGUAUUUUAAUACUUUAUGUAUUAAUAUUACAACACACGUAUUUGAAUCUAUACAUUAUAUGACAACUGUUAUCUUGUCUGUACUCAUAACCGCAUCAGGUCUCCAAGGUUAGCAGCCUUUGGUCGUAUAGAAAUACGGUGGGUAAGGGAAGUCGGCAAAUUUGGUCCGUACUUACGAUAGAAGGACUGGCUCCGAAGGUGCAUCACCUUUGAGAACUGGCAUGGACUCGGGGAAUCCGACUGUUUAAUUAAAACAUAGCAAGCGCAAUACUUUUCUGGGUUUGCUAUCGGAGCUAACUUCGGUUUAUUCUGUUUAGCGCCCUACUUCUCUAUGUAGUCUAUGAAAUAGAUUUGAACGCUUUAUGUAUUCUGCCCAGUGCUCUGCAAGUUAUUCUGAGUGGCUUCAGCAUUUUAAGCGCGGGUCAACGGCGGGAGUAACUAUGACUCUCUUAAACCUAUAUGGUUUAAUUAUAUAUACUUUUUUUUUAAAAAAUUGUAUAUAUAUAAAACUCUCAUUUGGCAUAUUAUUAUUACCUUGAGAGAAAUAGACCAACAUGUAUUUAAAACCUAUUUUCUUUUCAAUUUAAAUACUUGUUACUUGGUCUAGUGGCAACGCAAUUUUAAUUACAGGAUGUGCGUUCUGCGAGACAAGCUGGUUAGAGGAAGGUUCUAUUGUGUUUAAUACAUAAGACUAACCUCUAGAUGAAACUUCUCAAUUUUUUAUUAAUUUAAAAAAAAAAUGAUUAGUUCAUGUAGAGCUCGCCAAGCUGUCGGUUAUGGGUUAGAUUGAUUUUUUUUUCUUUCUUUUGGAAUAAAAAAAAGAGGAUAUUUUAUCAUAGCUUAAGGAACGGGCCUUUAUUCAUACGAAAGUAUGUGUUAUAUUUACAAGCCUGUAACUUGAAGAUAUAACAGGGUUUCUAUUUAUUUAGUUACUCAAUAAUAAGCAUAAUUCUUUUUAGCUUUUAUGUAGCUGAUAUAAAGAAGGUAGCCAAAUGCCUCGUCAUUUAAUUGGUGACGCGCAUGAAUGGAUCAACGAGAUUCCCACUGUCCCUACUCACUCUCUAGCGAAAUUACAGCCAAGCCAACGGUCUUGGGAUUAUGUACUUGUGUGUCUUUGUGUCACAUGAAGCAACAUUUUUAAACAUACAACAGCGGGGCAAGAAGACCCUUUUGAGCUUGACUCUAAUCUGUUAUUGUCAUCUGGUCGGCAUGGUGAAGAUCGUAAGAGGCAGUAUCAUUCACUUGUGCGACCAUGAAACACCGCUACUUGCCGAUUUGGCUGACUUACUGUUUUAGCAUUGACCUUCUUCAGUAUUGGUAAUAACCGCUCUUACGUAUCGACUCGUCUUUACGUUUGAACGCGCGUCCUAAAUGUGUAACUUUGUUACUUGAUUCUAUGUCUUUAGAACUUUGUUCUAUUGACUGUGAAGCAUUUAACGCAUAUGUGCUUUACUUAUUAUUGCAUUCUGAGCUUUGUUUACGGGCCUAGUUCUUACGAACGCAAAUGCCCAACAUAUAGCAAUUGAACAGGACACUUGCAGACUGGGAGUUUGGCUGGGGUGGCACAUCUGUUAUAAUGCAACACAGGUGUUCCAAGAGCAGCUCCGUGAGAACAGAAACCUCUCUUAGAGUAUAAGGGCAAAAGCUGCUUUGAUCUUGCAUGCUCAGUAAUCAUGCACAAUGAAUAAUACUCGUUUGUAACUUGUUAUAAACUUGUCAAACAUGAAAUUGCGACCUCGCGAGCCUUUGGUUUACGUAUGAAUUCUAUGUUCCUAUGUUAUUUAGCACUUGUUUUAUUGGUUUACAGACUAUUACUUCUCGUAACAAGUCUUUUUCCUUUACGCUUUUAUGUGCUUUCUACUUAGUUACUUCUUUCUUUUGCGGCUAGAGGUGUCAGAAAAGUUACCACAGGGAUAACUGGCUUGUGGCCGCGGAGCGUUCAAAGCGAUGCGGCUUUUUGAUUCUUCGAUGUCGGCUCUUCCUAACCUAGGCCCGCAUCUGAGCCUAAGGGUAAGUUUGUUCACCUGCCAACAGGGAACGUGAGCUGGGUUUAGACCGUCGUGAGACAGGUUGGU